rnacentral:rRNA from 1 species
CCUACGGGAGGCUGCAGUGGGGAAUAUUGCACAAUGGGGGAAACCCUGAUGCAGCGACGCCGCGUGAGUGAAGAAGUAAUUCGGUAUGUAAAGCUCUAUCAGCAGGGAAGAAAGUGACGGUACCUGAGUAAGAAGCCCCGGCUAACUACGUGCCAGCAGCCGCGGUAAUACGUAGGGGGCAAGCGUUAUCCGGAUUUACUGGGUGUAAAGGGAGCGUAGACGGCAGUGCAAGUCUGGAGUGAAAGGCGGGGGCUCAACCCCCGGACUGCUCUUGAAACUGUACGGCUGGAGUGCAGGAGAGGUAAGUGGAAUUCCGAGUGUAGCGGUGAAAUGCGUAGAUAUGAGGAGGAACACCAGUGGCGAAGGCGGCUCACUGGACUGUAACUGACGUUGAGGCUCGAAAGCGUGGGGAGCAAACAGGAUUAGAUACCCGUGUAGUC